rnacentral:rRNA from 1 species
AUUGAACGCUGGCGGCAUGCCUUACACAUGCAAGUCGAGCGGUAACAGGUCUUCGGAUGCUGACGAGUGGCGAACGGGUGAGUAAUACAUCGGAACGUGCCUAGUAGUGGGGGAUAACUACUCGAAAGAGUGGCUAAUACCGCAUGAGAUCUACGGAUGAAAGCAGGGGAUCGCAAGACCUUGUGCUACUAGAGCGGCCGAUGGCAGAUUAGGUAGUUGGUGGGAUAAAAGCUUACCAAGCCGACGAUCUGUAGCUGGUCUGAGAGGACGAUCAGCCACACUGGGACUGGGACCCGGCCCAGACUCCUACGGGAGGCAGCAGUGGGGAAUUUUGGACAAUGGGCGCAAGCCUGAUCCAGCAAUGCCGCGUGCAGGAUGAAGGCCUUCGGGUUGUAAACUGCUUUUGUACGGAACGAAAAGCCCUGGGUUAAUACCCUGGGGUCAUGACGGUACCGUAAGAAUAAGCACCGGCUAACUACGUGCCAGCCGCCGCCGUAAAAC